UACGGGGGGGGCAAGGCGUUGUUCGGAAUUACUGGGCGUAAAGGCGCGUAGGCGGUUCGCUAAGUUGAAUGUGAAAACUCUGGGCUUAACCCAGAGCCUGCAUUCAAUACUGGCGGGCUAGAGUUCGUGGAGGGGAUAGCGGAAUUCCUGGUGUAGCGGUGAAAUGCGUAGAUAUCAGGAGGAACACCGGUGGUGUAGACGGCUCUCUGGACCGUAACUGACGCUGAGACACGAAAGCGUGGGUAGCAAACAGG
rnacentral:rRNA from 1 species